GGAGAGAUGGCAGAGCGGUUGAAUGCGGCGGUCUUGAAAACCGUUGACCCUUCCGGGGUCCGGGGGUUCGAAUCCCUCUCUCUCCGCCA
rnacentral:tRNA from 1 species